GAUGUUUGAUUGCUGAGCCGUUUUGAAAAGUGCGGAACUGGAUAAACUAAAAGCAUAUUAAUCAUUUCCACUAAUAUAAGUGUAACAGAUAAUCUGCUUAGUAACGCUUGUGGAACAAGUGCCCGUAUUCAACAGUCAAACCAGAAUGAUAUGGUUACGUGCAAAUAUCGUUAUGAUUGCGUUGAUGGUAACGACCUGUGUUAGUGAAGACAGAAUGGCAAUAUUGGAAGGCCAAAUGACUCUGAUGAAAGCCUUUCAGUCCAACGUUGAGGUGAGAUUGGACGCAAUACAAGGAGAUCUUGGUACAUUAACUAAGAGAGUUUCCAAUCUUGAAUCUCUUGUUACCACGCUGGAAAACAAGGUUGAAGAGCUCAUAGGCAGAACAACCGAAGUUUAUGGCAUCAUUAAUGAGCAGAGUUCUACAAUAAAAGACGGUAUUAUGGUCACCAUCAGGGGCGUAAGUAACUCAUAGCUAACGUAAGAAUGAUAAGUUUAUCUGUGUUUAAAGCAAUUACAUAUUCGGACAAUGCCUACCUGUAAUUAUUGUUAACAAAUAUGUUGAUAAGUACAUUUUACAGGCUCAUCAAAAAUGCAAUUACUGUGUUUGAUAACCAGUGCAACGAUCAAUGUUUUGUGUCGUAUAAUUCACUCGAAAUAAAAGUUUACAUGCCAUAACUUUAUUUUAUAUACCUAUC